GGUUAAGCGACUAAGCGUACACGGUGGAUGCCCUGGCAGUCAGAGGCGAUGAAGGACGUGCUAAUCUGCGAUAAGCGUCGGUAAGGUGAUAUGAACCGUUAUAACCGGCGAUUUCCGAAUGGGGAAACCCAGUGUGUUUCGACACACUAUCAUUAACUGAAUCCAUAGGUUAAUGAGGCGAACCGGGGGAACUGAAACAUCUAAGUACCCCGAGGAAAAGAAAUCAACCGAGAUUCCCCCAGUAGCGGCGAGCGAACGGGGAGCAGCCCAGAGCCUGAAUCAGUGUGUGUGUUAGUGGAAGCGUCUGGAAAGGCGUGCGAUACAGGGUGACAGCCCCGUACACAAAAAUGCACAUAUUGUGAGCUCGAUGAGUAGGGCGGGACACGUGGUAUCCUGUCUGAAUAUGGGGGGACCAUCCUCCAAGGCUAAAUACUCCUGACUGACCGAUAGUGAACCAGUACCGUGAGGGAAAGGCGAAAAGAACCCCGGCGAGGGGAGUGAAAAAGAACCUGAAACCGUGUACGUACAAGCAGUGGGAGCACGCUUAGGCGUGUGACUGCGUACCUUUUGUAUAAUGGGUCAGCGACUUAUAUUCUGUAGCAAGGUUAACCGAAUAGGGGAGCCGAAGGGAAACCGAGUCUUAACUGGGCGUUAAGUUGCAGGGUAUAGACCCGAAACCCGGUGAUCUAGCCAUGGGCAGGUUGAAGGUUGGGUAACACUAACUGGAGGACCGAACCGACUAAUGUUGAAAAAUUAGCGGAUGACUUGUGGCUGGGGGUGAAAGGCCAAUCAAACCGGGAGAUAGCUGGUUCUCCCCGAAAGCUAUUUAGGUAGCGCCUCGUGAAUUCAUCUCCGGGGGUAGAGCACUGUUUCGGCAAGGGGGUCAUCCCGACUUACCAACCCGAUGCAAACUGCGAAUACCGGAGAAUGUUAUCACGGGAGACACACGGCGGGUGCUAACGUCCGUCGUGAAGAGGGAAACAACCCAGACCGCCAGCUAAGGUCCCAAAGUCAUGGUUAAGUGGGAAACGAUGUGGGAAGGCCCAGACAGCCAGGAUGUUGGCUUAGAAGCAGCCAUCAUUUAAAGAAAGCGUAAUAGCUCACUGGUCGAGUCGGCCUGCGCGGAAGAUGUAACGGGGCUAAACCAUGCACCGAAGCUGCGGCAGCGACACUAUGUGUUGUUGGGUAGGGGAGCGUUCUGUAAGCCUGUGAAGGUGUACUGUGAGGUAUGCUGGAGGUAUCAGAAGUGCGAAUGCUGACAUAAGUAACGAUAAAGCGGGUGAAAAGCCCGCUCGCCGGAAGACCAAGGGUUCCUGUCCAACGUUAAUCGGGGCAGGGUGAGUCGACCCCUAAGGCGAGGCCGAAAGGCGUAGUCGAUGGGAAACAGGUUAAUAUUCCUGUACUUGGUGUUACUGCGAAGGGGGGACGGAGAAGGCUAUGUUGGCCGGGCGACGGUUGUCCCGGUUUAAGCGUGUAGGCUGGUUUUCCAGGCAAAUCCGGAAAAUCAAGGCUGAGGCGUGAUGACGAGGCACUACGGUGCUGAAGCAACAAAUGCCCUGCUUCCAGGAAAAGCCUCUAAGCAUCAGGUAACAUCAAAUCGUACCCCAAACCGACACAGGUGGUCAGGUAGAGAAUACCAAGGCGCUUGAGAGAACUCGGGUGAAGGAACUAGGCAAAAUGGUGCCGUAACUUCGGGAGAAGGCACGCUGAUAUGUAGGUGAAGUCCCUCGCGGAUGGAGCUGAAAUCAGUCGAAGAUACCAGCUGGCUGCAACUGUUUAUUAAAAACACAGCACUGUGCAAACACGAAAGUGGACGUAUACGGUGUGACGCCUGCCCGGUGCCGGAAGGUUAAUUGAUGGGGUCAGCGCAAGCGAAGCUCUUGAUCGAAGCCCCGGUAAACGGCGGCCGUAACUAUAACGGUCCUAAGGUAGCGAAAUUCCUUGUCGGGUAAGUUCCGACCUGCACGAAUGGCGUAAUGAUGGCCAGGCUGUCUCCACCCGAGACUCAGUGAAAUUGAACUCGCUGUGAAGAUGCAGUGUACCCGCGGCAAGACGGAAAGACCCCGUGAACCUUUACUAUAGCUUGACACUGAACAUUGAGCCUUGAUGUGUAGGAUAGGUGGGAGGCUUUGAAGUGUGGACGCCAGUCUGCAUGGAGCCGACCUUGAAAUACCACCCUUUAAUGUUUGAUGUUCUAACGUUGACCCGUGAUCCGGGUUGCGGACAGUGUCUGGUGGGUAGUUUGACUGGGGCGGUCUCCUCCUAAAGAGUAACGGAGGAGCACGAAGGUUGGCUAAUCCUGGUCGGACAUCAGGAGGUUAGUGCAAUGGCAUAAGCCAGCUUGACUGCGAGCGUGACGGCGCGAGCAGGUGCGAAAGCAGGUCAUAGUGAUCCGGUGGUUCUGAAUGGAAGGGCCAUCGCUCAACGGAUAAAAGGUACUCCGGGGAUAACAGGCUGAUACCGCCCAAGAGUUCAUAUCGACGGCGGUGUUUGGCACCUCGAUGUCGGCUCAUCACAUCCUGGGGCUGAAGUAGGUCCCAAGGGUAUGGCUGUUCGCCAUUUAAAGUGGUACGCGAGCUGGGUUUAGAACGUCGUGAGACAGUUCGGUCCCUAUCUGCCGUGGGCGCUGGAGAACUGAGGGGGGCUGCUCCUAGUACGAGAGGACCGGAGUGGACGCAUCACUGGUGUUCGGGUUGUCAUGCCAAUGGCACUGCCCGGUAGCUAAAUGCGGAAGAGAUAAGUGCUGAAAGCAUCUAAGCACGAAACUUGCCCCGAGAUGAGUUCUCCCUGACUCCUUGAGAGUCCUGAAGGAACGUUGAAGACGACGACGUUGAUAGGCCGGGUGUGUAAGCGCAGCGAUGCGUUGAGCUAACCGGUACUAAUGAACCGUGAGGCUUAACCUU
rnacentral:rRNA from 1 species